rnacentral:misc_RNA from 1 species
GUCUUGUUCAACAAGUGGUUGGUUCAACCUCUGAAAAGGAAGAAUAAUUACGAAAUAGGAGAGAGCUACUGUUUAAUAAUAUUAACCAUCAAUAAUUCUGUGCUACCUUGGAACUGGAACUUGUUGAACUCUCUGCUACAUGCAAAUUCUAAUUGACUUCCAAAUUUGAAUAGAGAAAAUUUUCUGGCCUGGGCUGCAGAAAACAGUUGGCAUAGUUUACCUACUAAAAUUGGUUCGCAUAGCUGAGAAACUAAAGUCCCAACAUUGAAUGUGGACAACCUAUAUCUCGUUGCUGCCUGGAGAUUGUGUGU